GAUGAACGCUAGCGAUAGGCCUAACACAUGCAAGUCGAGGGGCAUCACAUGAGGCAGCAAUGCCGAUGGUGGCGACCGGCGCACGGGUGAGUAACACGUAUGCAACCUGCCUUCAACAAGGGGAUAACCCGUUGAAAAAACGGACUAAUACCCUAUAAUACAGGGGUCCCGCAUGGGGAUAUUUGUUAAAGAUUGAUCGGUUGAAGAUGGGCAUGCGUUCCAUUAGCUGGUUGGUGAGGUAACGGCUCACCAAGGCAACGAUGGAUAGGGGAACUGAGAGGUUUACCCCCACACUGGUACUGAGACACGGACCAGACUCCUACGGGAGGCAGCAGUGAGGAAUAUUGGUCAAUGGACGCAAGUCUGAACCAGCCACGUCGCGUGAAGGAAGACGGCCCUACGGGUUGUAAACUUCUUUUAUACGGGAAUAAAGUGCCCCACGCGUGGGGUUUUGCAUGUACCGUAUGAAUAAGGAUCGG
rnacentral:rRNA from 1 species